GAUGAAGAACGUAGCGAAAUGCGAUACUUGGUGUGAAUUGCAGAAUCCCGUGAACAAUCGAGUCUUUGAACGCAAGUUGCGCCCGAAGCCAUCAGGUUGAGGGCACGUCUGCCUGGGCGUCACAUAUCGUUGCCCAAUGCCUAUUGCAGUGCAAUAGGAAUUUCUAGGGCGAAUGAUGGCUUCCCGUGAGCGUUGUUGCCUCGCGGUUGGUUGAAAAUCGAGUCCUUGGUAGGGUGUGCCAUGGUAGAUGGUGGUCGAGUUAGAACGAUACCGAUCAUGUGCAUGCUCCCCAAAAUAUGGCCUCUAUGACCCACACGCGUCUUUUGACGCUCAUGACGAGACCUCAGGUCAGGCGGGGCUACCCGCUGAAUUUAAGCAUAUCAAUAAGCGGAGGA
rnacentral:misc_RNA from 1 species